CGAAUUUCAAAACCUCCUUUCAAUUAUUCACUUUUGCUGAAGCUUCUCCUCCUAUCCUUUUCUUUCUGUCUUUUUCUUUCUCUCUUUCCUCCUCCUUCUUAGCCUUGGUGCUGGUUCAUGGAUAUUGAACCCUUGUGGGCUUUGGGGGGUGGUUUCUUUUUUCUAUUUGCAUGGCAAAACCAAACUCAAAAUCACCAAUUGCUGAAACCAACACAAAAUCUCACCAUUUCUUUCUCUUGUUUGCUCUUGUGAUCUUCAUUUUUCUUUUACUCAUUAGCCCUGCCAAAAAACCCAUAAACCCAUCCAAGGUGACUAUGGCUUCCUCAAUUUCCAUCAAAAGGCUUCUGUUGGAACCCUCAGAAUCAACCUCUUCUACUACUACCAUGACGAACAUGCACCCAAAAAAAUCUCAAAACUCGCAUGCUUCAUCUUCUUCUACUUCAAAAUCAAAAGGUUCAGAGUUUGGAGCUGAAGCUCAUGAAGUUCCCAGCGGACCAAACCCUAUAUCAAACAGGUAAAUAAGUUUUAUGUAAGGGAUGAAUUUGCAUCUGCACUAAGAGGACACCGGAUGAAGAUGCUAGAGUUGUAGCGGCGAAUUUUACGAAUUGUCUUCUUUAUGGUUAUAGCUAUAGUGCACCAAUUAAAACUACUUGUCCUCAGUGAGAAGUUUGUUAAGUUUGCUGUAAUGUCAUCAUCUUUGGCCUUCUUUUCUUUUUUAUUAUUAUUAUUAUUAUUAUUUACUUUCAUUUUUCCCACUUUAUUUUUUGCAAAUUACCGAUGUAAAAAGUAGUUUUGGAUUAGGUAAAUCCCGC
rnacentral:misc_RNA from 1 species